CUUAACACAUGCAAGUCGAGGGGCAGCAUUUUAGUUUGCUUGCAAACUGAAGAUGGCGACCGGCGCACGGGUGAGUAACACGUAUCCAACCUGCCGAUAACUCCGGAAUAGCCUUUCGAAAGAAAGAUUAAUACCGGAUAGCAUACGAAUAUCGCAUGAUAUUUUUAUUAAAGAAUUUCGGUUAUCGAUGGGGAUGCGUUCCAUUAGUUUGUUGGCGGGGUAACGGCCCACCAAGACUACGAUGGAUAGGGGUUCUGAGAGGAAGGUCCCCCACAUUGGAACUGAGACACGGUCCAAACUCCUACGGGAGGCAGCAGUGAGGAAUAUUGGUCAAUGGGCGAGAGCCUGAACCAGCCAAGUAGCGUGAAGGAUGAAGGCUCUAUGGGUCGUAAACUUCUUUUAUAUGGGAAUAAAGUUUUCCACGUGUGGAAUUUUGUAUGUACCAUAUGAAUAAGGAUCGGCUAACUCCGUGCCAGCAGCCGCGGUAAUACGGAGGAUCCGAGCGUUAUCCGGAUUUAUUGGGUUUAAAGGGAGCGUAGGUGGAUUGUUAAGUCAGUUGUGAAAGUUUGCGGCUCAACCGUAAAAUUGCAGUUGAAACUGGCAGUCUUGAGUACAGUAGAGGUGGGCGGAAUUCGUGGUGUAGCGGUGAAAUGCUUAGAUAUCACGAAGAACUCCGAUUGCGAAGGCAGCUCACUAGACUGUCACUGACACUGAUGCUCGAAAGUGUGGGUAUCAAACAGGAUUAGAUACCCUGGUAGUCCACACAGUAAACGAUGAAUACUCGCUGUUUGCGAUAUACAGUAAGCGGCCAAGCGAAAGCAUUAAGUAUUCCACCUGGGGAGUACGCCGGCAACGGUGAAACUCAAAGGAAUUGACGGGGGCCCGCACAAGCGGAGGAACAUGUGGUUUAAUUCGAUGAUACGCGAGGAACCUUACCCGGGCUUAAAUUGCAACAGAAUAUAUUGGAAACAGUAUAGCCGUAAGGCUGUUGUGAAGGUGCUGCAUGGUUGUCGUCAGCUCGUGCCGUGAGGUGUCGGCUUAAGUGCCAUAACGAGCGCAACCCUUAUCUUUAGUUACUAACAGGUCAUGCUGAGGACUCUAGAGAGACUGCCGUCGUAAGAUGUGAGGAAGGUGGGGAUGACGUCAAAUCAGCACGGCCCUUACGUCCGGGGCUACACACGUGUUACAAUGGGGGGUACAGAAGGCGGCUACCUGGUGACAGGAUGCUAAUCCCAAAAACCUCUCUCAGUUCGGAUCGAAGUCUGCAACCCGACUUCGUGAAGCUGGAUUCGCUAGUAAUCGCGCAUCAGCCAUGGCGCGGUGAAUACGUUCCCGGGCCUUGUACACACCGCCCGUCAAGCCAUGAAAGCCGGGGGUACCUGAAGUACGUAACCGCAAGGAGCGUCCUAGGGUAAAACUGGUAAUUGGGGCUAAGUCGU
rnacentral:rRNA from 1 species